UACGGAGGGUGCGAGCGUUGUCCGGAAUCACUGGGCGUAAAGGGCGCGUAGGCGGCCUUGGGAAGUCAACGGUGAAAGCUCGGCGCUCAACGCCGAGUCGGCCGUCGAUACUCCCAGGCUCGAGUCGACUAGAGGCAGAUGGAAUUCCGGGUGUAGCGGUGGAAUGCGUAGAGAUCCGGAAGAACACCGGUGGCGAAGGCGGUCUGCUGGGGUCGAACUGACGCUGAGGCGCGACAGCGUGGGGAGCAAA
rnacentral:rRNA from 1 species